GUACUAAGUCUGUCCAAAAUAGCAACAAGAAAGCAUGUAACUAAAGACACAGCAGGGGUGUAGGAAUUCACACAGGCCUUGGAUAUUCUAAAGGUUGAACAGCUCCUUAUUCCUUUUUCCAAAAAUGCUAAGCAUAAUGUAUUUUCUCCGGAGCUUCUUCAAGGUAAGAAGUUUUAAAACUUUUUAAGUGUGUUUCAAGGUAAAAGAAAACUUGAUUUCCAGGGGGACUGGAACGAAGCACACUGUGUGUGUGAGCUCAAUUCAUUAUUAGAUACGAUUCUGGAAACUGGUUAUCUGCUGCAUGAGUUAACCGAUAGAUAGAUAUACUUAUAUUUAUACCACAUCUGGUUUUUAUGGCAAAUAAAACUUUAUGUGAUUUUGUUUAAAAUUAAACUUUGUUCCUCCAGAGAGUGAAGACGGAGAAUAGCUGGCAGAACAUUUAAUCAGGCUGAGUGAUUCAUUGUGCUAGUGAUUCAUUCCACUGCAAUUCAUUACUUUUGUGCUUACUUGAGACUUCUCCCUUGUAUUUUAAGCAAGUGCAAGUAAACUUCAGAACAAAAGUGUGUCUGUCUGUGUGGACCCCAGGGUUGUGCAUUAUUAUAAAAUAGCUUUGGAUAUACAAGGAAUUCAGUAUUGGGGUGAUACUUCAUGUCUGAAUUUUAUCAAGAGUGUGACCUUUUUCCUGCUCUUCCUUCGCAUUCUGAUUCUCCAGGGGGGUAAUCAAGCAUUUUGUCUUUAUGCCUGAGAGUGAACUGGUGCAAGUCAAGUAGAUCCUCUUUUAUGGUAGAUGGCAAGAACCAUGGCUUGUGGAGAAAGUGAUAUUUAAUCACAAGCUCCAAGCUGACAUCGUUGACAUGCCUUGUAGCCUGAUCCUACGGUGCAAGUCCCUCCAGGUUCCCUGGAAUUUACCUUCCAAUUAGUGUGCAGCCUUCGUUCUCCGUGACAAAUUCCAUUCAUUUACAGAUAAAUCCGCAAACGGUAUUUCACCUGCUUUGAAAAAUUAAAAAAGCGCCACGCAGAGUGCAGAGUGUACAAUUUCAGCUGUAGCGUGAAACUGUAACUAAUAUAGGAUACUGUUCAAAUUUGCUGAAAAUGGAUUUCUGCCAGGUUAAACAGGGAAUUUAGCCACGGUGCCAAGCAUCCAAGUAGCCAGACAAACGUUACAGUAGAGUGGAGGAAUUUCUGCUAUUGUACCUUUGCUCUCCUAUCUCUCUUUACAAUCCCUUGUAUUUACAGAACAGAAAGGCACAACAAUAGUUCAGACAAGUCUUCAAGGGUGUGAAGCACUGAUAUUUUGCAAGUGCACAACCACAGCACUGGCAAAUGCACCCUCUGGGAAGCUGGUUCAGAGCUUGUUGUGUUGAUUGGAGUGCACAGAUAUGCCCUUGGGCUGAUAGCAAAUAAUAUGGUUGCAUUUGGACAAUUCUACACAUUAUUGAAGGCACACUUGGAUUUCUUACUCUGAAUGAGAACCACAAGCACCCCUGGCUUUUUGAUAGGGGUAUUUACAUGUUACAGUUUUUACAUUCACAGGACGAUCUUACGUGCACAUCCAACAAAGAUAACAUGUGAAAUGUCAAAUGUCAAAGCACGCGAAGUGUACUUUUCAGAAAGAGCAACAACAAAAAAUAAGUUUUUAACUAGGACAGCUUGUCGUGAAUCAAACCUUCAUAUGAAAAGGUGGGGGUGCAUACUAUAAAGUAUACUUGGUGCAAAUGUUCAAAACAGUUGGGACAGAUGCAAUUCCAGGAGAACCUGGUUGUCUGCAGUUUGCAUUUCCUACAAUGGCUGCUUCACUGGAUGUGCGUUAAAAUUAGUCAGUUUUUCAGCAGGUUCCACAAACAGAGUUGCCACUUUCCCCCCUGAAAGCUUGCUGACUCUGAGUCAGUGAGAGCAGAAGAACAGGCAGAUGUUCACCAAGGGCAGCUUUUCUGAUCAUGCAAGGGAAAGGCAGCAUCUGUUAAUAUUCAUGUUUCUGCAAAAGGCAUGAGCUUCCUUGUCCACUAACAAGUGGAAAACUGAUCCACAAAUCAUAUAACCUGCAGUAUCUACAUUAUCUCUAUUAAUCCCAUGAGACCGAGCCCCUUAAAAGAUCCAGUACGGCAGUUUGAGUGGCUUGUGUACCUGAGCUUGCGGCAUCACCACUCCCUUUCACAAAAUGGGAAACAGUUUGUGCCUGUGGUGUACAUAUCCCAGCACAAAGUGCAGUCCAGUUAAUCACCCAUUUUAUAUUUGUAGUGUGAUAUCCCAGCCAAAAGAGAGGUGAGUUGUUUUAUCAUUUCAAGAAAACCUUAUUUCCACACUAUGGUUAGAGGGAAAAGACUUCCCUAAAAAUAUUUUGUCCAUUCACUUCCUCCCACAUGUAUAGCAGAAAUAACCAAGAAUACAUCCUUUUAAAAAACAAUCAAACCUUGCACUAGUACUUUCGUUUGUUUAUAGCAACAAAACUCUCAUAAUUCCCAGAGUCAACAUUUUGUAAGCAGUAAUGUCUUCUCAUGGCUCUCCCCUAAGAUUGGACAAUUAUUAUUUUUAUAAGCAAAGAAACAUGAUUUGUGUAAUUCGGUGAAUCAGAUCAACACAGUCUAAUUCCCAAUGCAUAACUGUUCUAUGUGCUCUUCACAUGGAUCUUUCUUUUAGAGAACAGUAUACUCCUCCCCCUCUGUUCAUAGUUUAGGAAAGUUUUUAAUGUUUGAUAUUUUAGCGUGUUUUCAAUAUUCUGUUGGAAGCCGCCCAGAGUAGCUGGGGAAACCCAGCCAGAUGGGUGGGGUAUAAAUAAUAAAUUAUAAUUACUAUUAUUGCUACACUGGAGUGGCAGCUGCCAUAGCAUAGCAGGUAGUGUUGGAGCAGAUGCCACAUUUCUGACAUUCAGUUCACAGAAUCAUUAUCACUGGAAGAUCCAUCAGGCAUUUAGUAAAGCUAUCAUACUGAAUGGCAAGACCAUCCACCCAACAUGCCCCCAUAGGUCAGGUAAUGCUAUCCUUGGUCACAACAUGCCUGAAAACACCAAGAUCCUGAAAGUACAGACCAAACAUAACACAAACAGGGAGUGGGUGCACUGUAGAAAAGUGUCUGUGGAGCAAACAGCUGUAUGCAAGAGAAACAGGACACAGCUAGGAGAGACCAGGGACUUCUUACACAUGGAUGUACACAGACAUUCCACCUCUAGUCAAUCUGACCUGGGAAAACUGUCUUCCCAAGUUCAAAGUUCGUGAUCGGCCAGAGCUAAUGGAGCGGCAAAACCCACCCACUGAGAUUUAGAAAGGUUUAUUGGGGAAGGGGAGGUGGGAUUCCAGCAUCUCUCCCAGCUCCAAGCCAGACAGCUGAUGGGGGUUUGAUAGAUUCAAAGAACAUUGAAUGGUACUCUUGUAAUAUUUGUUGUGGGGAUGGGAUCUCUGGUAACUGCAUUCUGUGACUGAAGUUCACCUCCUCUCCAACACUGACAUGCAUGUUUUCUUGUUAUUCCUGCAACAUAUUUUUAUGCUUUCAAAUGAUAGUAUGUUAUUGGAAGGGGUGGCAUAGAUAUAUGAAUAGACUUUAAGAAAUGCCUUUCCCCCCUCAAGUUAGCCUUUUGAAAUGUCACUACGACUAAUCUGUUAGGACCAGUUACCAUAAUAAUAUCGCUCAAUACACCCAUGUAAACCAGAAUAGGUUCAUUCCACGAUGGGAGGGGGGAUAUAUUAGGUUUGGCUAGUUUUAAAUCAGUUUAAAAUAAAAGCUACAGUUCUGUUCUGUCUUCAUUGUAUACAAGUUACUUUUGCUGCAUAAUUUGCCCAUAGUUCUCUCUCCAUUGGGUAAAAUGGGAACUUAAAAGCCCUCUAGCUUUAAAACUGCCAAGCCCAUUUUAAACAAACUAACAAAAGAAAAAACAAUGAAUAUUUCCAUUUUUAAAAUAAUUUCAGUCACCAAAAUGACAAGUUUAAGAUUCUUUUCUUAGUUGGCAAAAAAUAAAAUAAGAAAUGAUCAGAGACAGACACUCCCAUUCCUCUAAUUCUUCCAUCAGAUUUCUUUGAAAUCCAGAGAGCUUGUACAACUCACCAAAUAAAUCCUCCAUACCAAAUUUUAAACUGAUGGAACAAAUCAUGUUACUUUUAUAAAGGGCAGCAGAACUUCCAUGCUUUAUAAAGUUCCAUUUGCUCAUUUGGAGAAAAAGAUUGUCCUAAGCAUAUUUACCUCCAAUUAAGUCUC